rnacentral:rRNA from 1 species
AACGCUACGCCGCUAUAACCGCAGUCAACGGUGCUUCGGGCAUAGUGGCGCACGGGUGCGUAACACGUAUGCAACCUACCUUACAUUGGGGGAUAGCCUUUCGAAAGGGAGAUUAAUACCGCAUAACACAGUGAGUUGGCAUCAGCUUAUUGUUAAAGAUUUAUCGAUGUAAGAUGGGCAUGCGUCCAAUUAGUUAGUUGGCGAGGUAACGGCUCACCAAGACGAUGAUUGGUAGGGGAACUGAGAGGUCAAUCCCCCACACUGGCACUGAGAUACGGGCCAGACUCCUACGGGAGGCAGCAGUAGGGAAUAUUGGGCAAUGGACGCAAGUCUGACCCAGCCAUGCCGCGUGCAGGAAGACGGCCCUCUGGGUUGUAAACUGCUUUUAUAUAGGAAGAAAGAAUCCUUGCGAGGAUAGUUGACGGUACUAUAAGAAUAAGCACCGGCUAACUCCGUGCCAGCAGCCGCGGUAAUACGGAGGGUGCAAGCGUUGUCCGGAUUUAUUGGGUUUAAAGGGUGCGCAGGUGGUUUAUUAAGUCAGUGGUGAAAGACGGUCGCUUAACGAUUGCAGUGCCAUUGAUACUGGUAGA